rnacentral:lncRNA from 1 species
AUGAAGAAUUCAAAGGAUAGGCUGCACAAACGUGGCCUCCCUUUUCAAGCUUUGUUCCUCUCUUUUUUGUGCACACAGCUGAUUUUUAUUUGCUGUGAGAUUAAAUCCCUCCAUGAUUAUGUUUGUGGGUUUUGUACCCAAAUUGGAUUUGUGCUCUUGAGAACCCACUGAAUGAGUUUUAUGCCCAAAAAUGGAUAUACCAUUCAGGGUAUUUGAUUGAGGGUUACACACCCAUGAUGGAUUUUGUAUCCAAUAUUUUGUAUCCAUUUCAAAGGAUUUUCUUUUGCUCGGCAGAGCUUUGUUAAACAGAAAUCCUCUCAUGGAUUUGUUGUUCAUGAUUUAAGGGUUGCCACCCAUUAUGGAUUUAUCAUCCAAGAGUUUUAUUUGAGGGUUGCCACCCAAUAUGGAUUCAUCAUCCAAGAGAAUGAUUUUAGGGUUGCCACCCAACAAGAAUUAAUUGACAGGAUCUAUAUACCUGUGAAAAUGUCUCCUCUUGUAUUUGUGCUCCUGCAAUUUUCCUUCUGCAACAAUUUUCUUCUUCUGUCGUCUUCUCCUUCUUUUCUGUCCUCUUUCUCUUCUU